rnacentral:rRNA from 1 species
UACGGAGGGGGCUAGCGUUGUUCGGAAUUACUGGGCGUAAAGCGUACGUAGGCGGCUUUGUAAGUUAGAGGUGAAAGCCCGGGGCUCAACUCCGGAAUUGCCUUUAAGACUGCAUCGCUUGAAUCAUGGAGAGGUGAGUGGAAUUCCAGGUGUAGCGGUGAAAUGCGUAGAUAUCUGGAGGAACACCGGUGGCGAAGGCGACGUCCUGGACCGGCAUUGACGGCUGAGG